UGGGGAAUAUUGGACAAUGGGGGGAACCCUGAUCCAGCCAUGCCGCGUGUGUGAAGAAGGCCUUAUGGUUGUAAAGCACUUUAAGCGAGGAGGAGGGUACUGGUAUUAAUACUACCAGGUACUGGACGUUACUCGCAGAAUAAGCACCGGCUAACUCUGUGCCAGCAGCCGCGGUAAUACAAAGGGUGCGAGCGUUAAUCGGAUUUACUGGGCGUAAAGCGUGCGUAGGCGGCUAAUUGAGUCGGAUGUGAAAUCCCCGAGCUUAACUUGGGAAUUGCAUUCGAUACUGGUUAGCUAGAGUGUGGGAGAGGAUGGUAGAAUUCCAGGUGUAGCGGUGAAAUGCGUAGAGAUCUGGAGGAAUACCGAUGGCGAAGGCAGCCAUCUGGCCUAACACUGACGCUGAGGUACGAAAGCAUGGGGAGCAAACAGG
rnacentral:rRNA from 1 species